AUGGGAGGUUCAGUUGUAGGAACUACAGGUGUUGUAGUAGGUGCUGUUGUUGAGGUUGUCGUAGGAGCUGAAGUUGUAGUUGUUGUAGUAGGUUGUGGAGUUGCAGUGGUCGUAGGAGCAGCAGUUGUUGUAGUUAGGGCUGCAGUGGUUGUCGUAGAUGCUAAAGCUGUUGUAGGAGCUGCAGUUGUCGUGGGAGCUACAGUUGUUGUAGGUGCUGUUGUUGUGGUUGUCGUAGGAGCUGAAGUUGUUGUAGUUGUUGUAGCAGGAGCUGCAGUGGUUGUCGUAAUAGGUUCUGGAGCUGUAGUGGUCGUAGGAGCAGCAAUUGUUGUUGUUAGGGCUGCAGUGGUUGUCUUAGAGGCAGCUGCUGUGGUGGAAGUUGAAGCUACAAUUGUUUUAGCAGGAGCUGUAGUUGUGAUUGUUGUUGUAAGUACAGCANNNNNNNNNNCUGCAGUUGUCGUGGCAGCUACAGUUGUUGUAGGUGCUGUUGUUGUGGUUGUCGUAGGUGCUGAAGUUGUAGUUAUUGUAGAAGGUGCUGCAGUCACUGUGGUCGUUAGAACAGCAGUUGUUGUAGUAGGAGCUGCACUGGUUGUCGUAGUAGGUUGUGGAGUUACAGUGGUCGUAGGAGCAGCAGUUGUUGUAGUUAGGGCUGCAGUGGUUGUUGUAGAUGCUAAAGCUGUUGUAGGAGCUGCAGUUAUCGUGGGAGCUACAGUUGUUGGAGGUGCUGUUGUUGUGGUUGUCGUAGGUGCUGAAGUUGUAGUUGUUGUAGCAGGAGCUGCAGUGGUUGUCGUAAUAGGUUCUGGAGCUGUAGUGGUCGUAGGAGCAGCAGUUGUUGUUGUUUGGGCUGCAGUGGUUGUCGUAGAUGCUAAAGCUGUUGUAGGAGCUGCAGUUGUCGUGGGAGCUACAGUUGUUGGAGGUGCUGUUGUUGUAGUAGGAGCUGAAAUUGUAGUUGUUGUAGCAGGAGCUGCAGUGGUUGUCGUAAUAGGUUCUGGAGCUGUAGUGGUCGUAGGUGCAGCAAUUGUUGUUGUUAGGGCUGCAGUGGUUGUCGUAGAGGCAGCUGCUGUGGUGGAAGUUGAAGCUACAAUGUUUGUAGCAGGAGCUGUAGUUGUGAUUGUUGUUGUAAGUACAGCAGGUGGAGUGGUCAUGGGAGGUUCAGUUGUAGGAACUGCAGGUGUUGUAGUAGGUGCUGUUGUUGUGGUUGUCGUAGGAGCUGAAGUUGUAGUUGUUGUAGUAGGUUGUGGAGUUGCAGUGGUCGUAGGAGCAGCAGUUGUUGUAGUUAGGGCUGCAGUGGUUGUCGUAGAUGCUAAAGCUGUUGUAGGAGCUGCAGUUGUCGUGGGAGCUAAAGUUGUUGUAGUUGCUGUUGUUGUGGUUGUCGUAGGAGCUGAAGUUGUUGUAGUUGUUGUAGCAGGAGCUGCAGUGGUUGUCAUAAUAGGUUCUGGAGCUGUAGUGGUCAUAGGAGCAGCAAUUGUUGUUGUUAGGGCUGCAGUGGUUGUCUUAGAGGCAGCUGCUGUGGUGGAAGUUGAAGCUACAAUGUUUGUAGCAGGAGCUGUAGUUGUGAUUGUUGUUGUAAGUACAGCAGGUGGAGUGGUCGUGGGAGCUACGGUUGUAGGAACUGCAGGUGUUGUAGUAGGUGCUGUUGUUGUGGAUGUCAUAGGAGCUGCAGUUGUUGUUGUUAGGGCUGCAGUGGUUGUCGUAGAUGCUAAAGCUGUUGUAGGAGCUGCAGUUAUCUUGGGAGCUACAGUUGUUGGAGGUGCUGUGGUUGUGGUUGUCGUAGGAGCUGAAGUUGUAGUUAUUGUAGCAGGUGCUGCAGUCACUGUGGACGUUAGAACAGCAGUUGUUGUAGUAGGAGCUGCACUGGUUGUCGUAGUAGGUUGUGGAGUUACAGUGGUCGUAGGAGUAGUAGUUGUUGGAGGUGCUGUUGUUGUGCUUGUCGUAGGAGCUGAAGUUGUAGUUGUUGUAGUAAGAGCUGCCGUGGCUGUCGUAGUAGGUCGUGGAGUUACAGUGGUCGUAGGAGCAGCAGUUGUUGUAGUUAGGGCUGCAGUGGUUGAAGUAGAUGCUAAAGUUGUUGUAGGAGCUGCAGUUAUCGUGGGAGCUACAGUUGUUGGAGGUGCUGUGGUUGUGGUUGUCGUAGGAGCUGAAGUUGUAGUUAUUGUAGCAGGUGCUGCAGUCACUGUGGACGUUAGAACAGCAGUUGUUGUAGUAGGAGCUGCACUGGUUGUCGUAGUAGGUUGUGGAGUUACAGUGGCCGUAGGAGUAGCAGUUGUUGGAGGUGCUGUUGUUGUGGUUGUCGUAGGAGCUGAAGUUGUUGUAGUUGUUGUAGCAGGAGCUGCACUGGUUGUCGUAAUAGGUUCUGGAGCUGUAGUGGUCGUAGGAGCAGCAAUUGUUGUUGUUAGGGCUGCAGUGGUUGUCGUAGAUGCUAAAGCUGUUGUAGGAGCUGCAGUUGUCGUGGGAGCUACAGUUGUUGGAGGUGCUGUUGUUGUGGUUGUCGUAGGAGCUGAAGUUGUAGUUAUUGUAGAAGGUGCUGCAGUCACCGUUGUUGUUAGAACAGCAGUUGUUGUAGUAGGAGCUGCUCUGGUUGUCGUAGUAGGUUGUGGAGUUACAGUGGUCGUAGGAGCAGCAGUUGUUGUAGUUAGGGCUGCAGUGGUUGUCUUAGAGGCAGCUGCUGUGGUGGAAGUUGAAGCUACAAUGUUUGUAGCAGGAGCUGUAGUUGUGAUUGUUGUUGUAAGUACAGCAGGUGGAGUGGUCGUGGGAGCUACGGUUGUAGGAACUGCAGGUGUUGUAGUAGGUGCUGUUGUUGUGGAUGUCAUAGGAGCUGCAGUUGUUGUUGUUAGGGCUGCAGUGGUUGUCGUAGAUGCUAAAGCUGUUGUAGGAGCUGCAGUUAUCGUGGGAGCUACAGUUGUUGGAGGUGCUGUGGUUGUGGUUGUCGUAGGAGCUGAAGUUGUUGUAGUUGUUGUAGCAGGAGCUGCACUGGUUGUCGUAAUAGGUUCUGGAGCUGUAGUGGUCGUAGGAGCAGCAAUUGUUGUUGUUAGGGCUGCAGUGGUUGUUGUAGAUGCUAAAGCUGUUGUAGGAGCUGCAGUUGUCGUGGGAGCUACAGUUGUUGGAGGUGCUGUUGUUGUGGUUGUCGUAGGAGCUAAAGUUGUAGUUAUUGUAGAAGGUGCUGCAGUCACCGUUGUUGUUAGAACAGCAGUUGUUGUAGUAGGAGCUGCACUGGUUGUCGUAAUAGGUUGUGGAGUUACAGUGGUCGUAGGAGCAGCAGUUGUUGUAGUUAGGGCUGCAGUGGUUGUUGUAGAUGCUAAAGCUGUUGUAGGAGCUGCAGUUGUCGUGGGAGCUACAGUUGUUGGAGGUGCUGUUGUUGUGCUUGUCGUAGGAGCUGAAGUUGUAGUUGUUGUAGUUAGAGCUGCAGUGGUUGUCGUAGAGGCAGCUGCUGUGGUUGACAUAGAAGUUACAGUUGUUGUAUCAGGAUCUGUAUUCGUGAUUGUUGUAGUUAGUACAGCAGGUGGAGUGGUUGUGGGAGCUACAGUUGUAGGAACUGCAGGUGUUGUAGUAGGUGCUGCUGUUGUGGUUGUCGUAGGAGCAGCAGUUGUUGUUGCUAGGGCUGCAGUGGUUGUCGUAGAUGCUAAAGCUGUUGUAGGAGCUGCAGUUAUCAUGGGAGCUACAGUUGUUGGAGGUGCUGUUGUUGUGCUUGUCGUAGGAGCUGAAGUUGUAGUUGUUGUAGUAAGAGCUGCACUGGCUGUCGUAGUAGGUUGUGGAGUUACAGUGGUCGUAGGAGCAGCAGUUGUUGUAGUUAGGGCUGCAGUGGUUGUCCUAGAUGCUAAAGCUGUUGUAGGAGCUGCAGUUAUCGAAGGAGCUACAGUUGUUGGAGGUGCUGUGGUUGUGGGUGUCGUAGGAGCUGAAGUUGUAGUUAUUGUAGCAGGUGCUGCAGUCACUGUGGAUGUUAGAACAGCAGUUGUUGUAGUAGGAGCUGCACUGGUUGUCGUAGUAGGUUGUGGAGUUACAGUGGUCGUAGGAGUAGCAGUUGUUGAGGGUGCAGUUGUUGUGGUUGUCGUAGGAGCUGAAGUUGUUGUAGUUGUUGUAGCAGGAGCUCUAGUGGUUGUCGUAAUAGGUUCUGGAGCUGUAGUGGUCGUAGGAGCAGCAAUUGUUGUUGUUAGGGCUGCAGUGGAUGUCGAAGAUGCUAAAGCUGUUGUAGGAGCUGCAGUUGUCGUGGGAGCUACAGUUGUUGGAGGUGCUGUUGUUGUGGUUGUCGUAGGAGCUAAAGUUGUAGUUAUUGUAGAAGGUGCUGCAGUCACCGUUGUUGUUAGAACAGCAGUUGUUGUAGUAGGAGCUGCACUGGUUGUCGUAAUAGGUUGUGGAGUUACAGUGGUCGUAGGAGCAGCAGUUGUUGUAGUUAGGGCUGCAGUGGUUGUUGUAGAUGCUAAAGCUGUUGUAGGAGCUGCAGUUGUCGUGGGAGCUACAGUUGUUGGAGGUGCUGUUGUUGUGCUUGUCGUAGGAGCUGAAGUUGUAGUUGUUGUAGUUAGAGCUGCAGUGGUUGUCGUAGAGGCAGCUGCUGUGGUUGACAUAGAAGUUACAGUUGUUGUAUCAGGAUCUGUANNNNNNNNNNCUGCAGUGGAUGUCGAAGAUGCUAAAGCUGUUGUAGGAGCUGCAGUUGUCGUGGGAGCUACAGUUGUUGGAGGUGCUGUUGUUGUGGUUGUCGUAGGAGCUAAAGUUGUAGUUAUUGUAGAAGGUGCUGCAGUCACCGUUGUUGUUAGAACAGCAGUUGUUGUAGUAGGAGCUGCACUGGUUGUCGUAAUAGGUUGUGGAGUUACAGUGGUCGUAGGAGCAGCAGUUGUUGUAGUUAGGGCUGCAGUGGUUGUUGUAGAUGCUAAAGCUGUUGUAGGAGCUGCAGUUGUCGUGGGAGCUACAGUUGUUGGAGGUGCUGUUGUUGUGCUUGUCGUAGGAGCUGAAGUUGUAGUUGUUGUAGUUAGAGCUGCAGUGGUUGUCGUAGAGGCAGCUGCUGUGGUUGACAUAGAAGUUACAGUUGUUGUAUCAGGAUCUGUAGUUGUGAUUGUUGUAGUAAGUACAGCAGGUGGAGUGGUUGUGGGAGCUACAGUUGUAGGAACUGCAGGUGUUGUAGUAGGUGCUGCUGUUGUGGUUGUCGUAGGAGCAGCAGUUGUUGUUGCUAGGGCUGCAGUGGUUGUCGUAGAUGCUAAAGCUGUUGUAGGAGCUGCAGUUAUCGUGGGAGCUACAGUUGUUGGAGGUGCUGUUGUUGUGCUUGUCGUAGGAGCUGAAGUUGUAGUUGUUGUAGUAAGAGCUGCACUGGCUGUCGUAGUAGGUUGUGGAGUUACAGUGGUCGUAGGAGCAGCAGUUGUUGUAGUUAGGGCUGCAGUGGUUGUCGUAGAUGCUAAAGCUGUUGUAGGAGCUGCAGUUAUCGUAGGAGCUACAGUUGUUGGAGGUGCUGUGGUUGUGGUUGUCGUAGGAGCUGAAGUUGCAGUUAUUGUAGCAGGUGCUGCAGUCACUGUGGAUGUUAGAACAGCAGUUGUUGUAGUAGGAGCUGCACUGGUUGUCGUAGUAGGUUGUGGAGUUACAGUGGUCAUAGGAGUAGCAGUUGUUGGAGGUGCAGUUGUUGUGGUUGUCGUAAGAGCUGAAGAUGUUGUAGUUGUUGUAGAAGGAGCUGCAGUGGUUGUCGUAAUAGGUUCUGGAGCUGUAGUGGUCGUAGGAGCAGCAAUUGUUGUUGUUAGGGCUGCAGUGGUUGUCGUAGAUGCUAAAGCUUUUGUAGGAGCUGCAGUUGUCGUGGGAGCUACAGUUGUUGGAGGUGCUGUUGUUGUGGUUGUCGUAGGAGCUAAAGUUGUAGUUAUUGUAGAAGGUGCUGCAGUCACCGUUGUUGUUAGAACAGCAGUUGUUGUAGUAGGAGCUGCACUGGUUGUCGUAGUAGGUUGUGGAGUUACAGUGGUCGUAGGAGCAGCAGUUGUUGUAGUUAGGGCUGCAGUGGUUGUUGUAGAUGCUAAAGCUGUUGUAGGAGCUGCAGUUAUCGUGGGAGCUACAGUUGUUGUAGGUGCUGUUGUUGUGGUUGUCGUAGGNNNNNNNNNNNNNNNNNNNNNNNNNNNNNNNNNNNNNNNNNNNNNNNNUGUAGGAGCUGCAGUUGUCGUGGGAGCUACAGUUGUUGGAGGUGCUGUUGUUGUGGUUGUCGUAGGAGCUAAAGUUGUAGUUAUUGUAGAAGGUGCUGCAGUCACCGUUGUUGUUAGAACAGCAGUUGUUGUAGUAGGAGCUGCACUGGUUGUCGUAGUAGGUUGUGGAGUUACAGUGGUCGUAGGAGCAGCAGUUGUUGUAGUUAGGGCUGCAGUGGUUGUUGUAGAUGCUAAAGCUGUUGUAGGAGCUGCAGUUAUCGUGGGAGCUACAGUUGUUGUAGGUGCUGUUGUUGUGGUUGUCGUAGGAGCUGAAGUUGUAGUUGUUGUAGUUGUUGUAGCAGAAGCUGCAGUGGUUGUCGUAAUAGGUUCUAGAGCUGUAGUGGUCGUAGGAGCAGCAGUUGUUGUUGUUUGGGCUGCAGUGGUUGUCGUAGAUGCUAAAGCUGUUGUAGGAGCUGCAGUUGUCGUGGGAGCUACAGUUGUUGGAGGUGCUGUUGUUGUGGUUGUCGUAGGAGCUGAAGUUGUAGUUGUUGUAGCAGGAGUUGCAGUUGGUGUCGUAAUAGGUUCUGGAGCUGUAGUGGUCGUAGGAGCAGCAGUUGUUGUUGUUAGGGCUGCAGUGAUUGUCGUAGAUGCUAAAGCUAUUGUAGGAGCUGCAGUUUUCGUGGGAGCUACAGUUGUUGGAGGUGCUGUUGUUGUGGUUGUCGUAGGAGCUGAAGUUGUAGUUGUUGUAGCAGGAGCUGCAGUGGUUGUCGUAAUAGGUUCUGGAGCUGUAGUGGUCGUAGGAGCAGCAGUUGUUGUUAUUAGGGCUGCAGUGGUUGUCGUAGAUGCUAAAGCUGUUGUAGGAGCUGCAGUUAUCGUGGGAGCUACAGUUGUUGGAGGUGCUGUUGUUGUGGUUGUCUUAGGUGCUGAAGUUGUAGUUAUUGUAGAAGGUGCUGCAGUCACUGUGGUCGUUAGAACAGCAGUUGUUGUAGUAAGAGCUGCACUGGUUGUCGUAGCAGGUCGUGGAGUUACAGUGGUCGUUGGAGCAGCAGUUGAUGUAGUUAGGUCUGCAGUGGUUGAAGUAGAUGCUAAAGCUGUCGUGGGAGCUACAGUUGUUGGAGGUGCUGUUGUUGUGGAUGUCGUAGGAGCUGAAGUUGUAGUUGUUGUAGAAGGAGCUGCAGUCGUUGUCGUAAUAGAUUCUAGAGUUGUUGUGGUCGUUGGAGCAGCUAUUGUUGUAGUUAGAGCUGCUGUGGUUGUCGUAGAGGCAGCUGCUGUGGUUGACGUAGAAGUUACAGUUGUUGUAUCAGGAGCUGUAGUUGUGAUUGUUGUAGUAAGUACAGCAGGUGGAGUGGUCGUGGGAGCUACAGUUGUAGGAACUGCAGGUGUUGUAGUAGUUGCUGUUGUUGUGGUUGUCGUAGGAGCUGAAGUUGUAGUUGUUGUAGCAGGAGCUGCAGUGGGUGUCGUAAUAGGUUCUGGAGCUGUAGUGGUCGUAGGAGCAGCAGUUGUUGUUGCUAGGGCUGCAGUGGUUGUCGUAGAUGCUAAAGCUGUUGUAGGAGCUGCAGUUGUCGUGGGAGCUACAGUUGUUGGAGGUGCUGUUGUUGUGGUUGUCGUAGGAGCUGAAGUUGUAGUUGUUUUAGCAGGAGCUGCAGUGGAUGUCGUAAUAGGUUCUGGAGCUGUAGUGGUCGUAGGAGCAGCAGUUGUUGUUAUUAGGGCUGCAGUGGUUGUCGUAGAUUCUAAAGCUGUUGUAGGAGCUGCAGUUAUCGUGGGAGCUAAAGUUGUUGGAGGUGCUGUUGUUGUGGUUGUCGUCGGUGCUGAAGUUGUAGUUAUUGUAGAAGGUGCUGCAGUCACUGUGGUCGUUAGAACAGCAGUUGUUGUAUUAAGAGCAGCACUGGAUGUCGUAGUAGGUCGUGGAGUUACAGUGGUCGUAAGAGCAGCAGUUGAUGUAGUUAGGUCUGCAGUGGUUGAAGUAGAUGCUAAAGCUGUUGUAGGAGCUGCAGUUACCGUGGGAGCUACAGUUGUUGGAGGUGCUGUUGUUGUGGAUGUCGUAGGAGCUAAAGUUGUAGUUGUUGUAGCAGGAGCUGCAGUGGUUGUCGUAAUAGGUUCCAGAGUUGUUGUGGUCGUUGGAGCAGCUAUUGUUGUAGUUAGAGCUGCUGUGGUUGUCGUAGAGGCAGCUGCUGUGGUUGACGUAGAAGUUACAGUUGUUGUAUCAGGAGCUGUAGUUGUGAUUGUUGUAGUAAGUACAGCAGGUGAAGUGGUCGUAGGAGCUACAGUUGUAGGAACUGCAGGUGUUGUAGUAGUUGCUGUUGUUGUGGUUGUCGUAGGAGCUGAAGUUGUAGUUGUUGUAGCAGGAGCUGCAGUUGUUGUAGUUAGGGCUGCAGUGGUUGUCGUAGAUGCUAAAGCUGUUGUAGGAGCUGCAGUUGUCGUGGGAGCUACAGUUGUUGGAGGUGCUGUUGUUGUGGUUGUCGUAGGAGCUGAAGUUGUAGUUGUUGUAGCAGGAGCUGCAGAUGUUGUAGUUAGGGCUGCAGUGGUUGAAGUAGAUGCUAAAGCUGUUGUAGGAGCUGCAGUUAUCGUGGGAGCUACAGUUGUUGGAGGUGCUGUUGUUGUGGUUGUCGUAGGAGCUGAAGUUGUAGUUGUUGUAGCAGGAGCUGCAGUGGUUGUCGUAAUAGGUUCUAGAGUUGUAGUGGUCGGUGGAGCAGCAAUUGUUGUUGUUAGAGCUGUUGUGGUUGUCGUAGAGGCAGCUGCUGUGGUUGACAUAGAAGUUACAGUUGUUGUAUCAGGAGAUGUAGUUGUGAUUGUUGUAGUAAGUACAGCAGGUGGAGUGGUCGUGGGAGCUACAGUUGUAGGAACUGCAGGUGUUGUAGUAGGUGCUGUUGUUGUGGUUGUCGUAGGAGCUGAAGUUGUAGUUAUUGUAGAAGGUGCUGCAGUCACUGUGGUCGUUAGAACAGCAGUUGUUGUAGUAGGAGCUGCACUGGUUGUCGUAGUAGGUUGUGGAGUUGCCGUGGUCGUAGGAGCAGCAGCUGUUGUAGUUAGGGCUGCAGUGGUUGUCUUAGCUGCUAAACCUGUUGUUGGAGCUGCAGUUGUCGUGGGAGCUUCAGUUGUUGUAGGUGCUGUUGUUGGGGUUGUCAUAGGUACUGAAGUUGUAGUUGUUGUAGCAGGAGCUGCAGUGGUUGUCGUAAUAGGUUCUGGAGUUACAGUGGUUGUUGGAGCAGCAGUUGUUGUAGUUAGGGCUGCAGUGGUUGAAGUAGAUGCUAAAGCUGUUGUAGGAGCUGCAGUUAUCGUGGGAGCAACAGUUGUUGGAGGUGCUGUUGUUGUGGUUGUCGUAGGAGCUGAAGUUGUAGUUUUUGUAGCAGGAGCUGCAGUGGUUGUCGUAAUAGGUUCUAGAGUUGUAGCGGUCGUUGGAGCAGCAAUUGUUGUUGUUAGAGGUGUUGUGGUUGUCGUAGAGGCAGCUGAUGUGGUUGACGUAGAAGUUACAGUUGUUGUAUCAGGAGCUGUAGUUGUGAUUGUUGUAGUAAGUACUGCAGGUGCUGUGGUCGUGGGAGAUACAGUUGUAACAACUGCAGGUGUUGUAGUAGGUGCUGUUGUUGUGGUUGUCGUAGGAGCUGAAGUUGUAGUUAUUGUAGAAGGUGCUGCAGUCACUGUGGUCAUUAGAACAGCAGUUGUUGUAGUAGGAGCCGCACUGGUUGUCGUAGUAGGUUGUGGAAUUUCCGUGGUCGUAGGAGCAGCAGCUGUUGUAGUUAGGGUUGCAGUGGUUGUCUUAGCUGCUAAAGCUGUUGUUGGAGCUGUAGUUGUCGUGGGAGCUACAGUUGUUGGAGGUGCUGUUGUUGUGGUUGUCGUAGUAGCUGAAGUUGUAGUUGUUGUAGCAGAAGCUGCAGUGGUUGUCGUAAUAGGUUUUGGAGUUGUAGUGGUCGUUGGAGCAGCAGUUGUUGUAGUUAGAGCUGCAGUGGUUGUUGUAGAGGCAGCUGCUGUGGUUGACGUAGAAGUUAAAGUUGUUGUAUCAGGAGCUGUAGUUGUGAUUGUUGUAGUAAGUACAGCAGGUGGAGUGGUCGUGGGAGCUACGGUUGUAGGAACUGCAGGUGUUGUAGUAGGUGCUGUUGUUGUGGUUGUCGUAGGAGCUGAAGUUGUAGUUGUUGUAGAAGGUGCUGCAGUCACUGUGGUCGUUAGAACAGCAGUUGUUGUAGUCGGAGCAGCACUGGUUGUCGUUGUAGGUUGUGGAGUUACAGUGGUCGUAGGAGCAGCAGUUGUUGGAGGUGCUGUUGUUGUGGUUGUCGUGGCAGCUGAAGUUGUAGUUGUUGUAGCAGGAGCUGCAGUGGUUGUCGUAAUAGGUUCUGGAGCUGUAGUGAUAGUAGGAGCAGCAGUUGUUGUUGUUAGGGCUGCAGUGGUUGUCGUUGAUGCUAAAGCUGUUGUAGGAGCUGCAGUUGUCGUGGGAGCUACAGUUGUUGGAGGUGCUGUUGUUGUGGUUGUCGUAGGAGCUGAAGUUGUAGUUGUUGUAGAUGGUGUUGCAGUCGUUGUUGUCGUAAGAGCUGCAGUUGUUGUAGUAGGAGCUGUACUGGUUGUCGUAGUAGGUUCUGGAGUUGUAGUGGUCGUAGGAGCAGCAGUUGUUGUAGUCAGAGCUUCAGUUGUCGUAGGAGCUGCAGUUGUCAUGGGAGCUACAGUUGUUGUAGGUGCUGUCAUUGUGGUUGUCGUAGGAGCUGAAGUUGUUGUAGUAGGAGCUGCACUGGUUGUCGUGGUAGGUUCUGCAGUCGUAGCAGUCGUAGGAGUAGGUUCUGUCGUAGUAGGUUUUGGAGUUGUAGUGGUCGUAGGAGCAGCAGUUGUUGUCGUCAGAGCUUCAGUUGUCGUAGGAGCUGCAGGUGGCCUGGGAGCUACAGUGGUCAUUGUAGGUGUUACCUUUGUAGUGUCCGUAGGAGCUACAGUUGUAGUCGGGUCUAUAGUUGUAGUCGUAGUAGGAGCUAUAUUAAUUGCUGUAGGAGUUACAGUUGUUGCUGUAGUUUCUGCUGUUGUAGUGGUCAUAGGAGCUACAGUUGUAUUAGGAACUGCAGUUGUGGUUGUUGUAUUAGGUACUGCAGUUGUAGUUGUCGUUGGAGCUGCAGUUGUCGUUGGAGCUACAGUUGUCGAUGGAGCAACAGUUGUUGCCGUAGGAGCUGCAGUUGUUUUUGUCGUAAUAAGAUCUGCAGUUGCAGGAGAUGCAGUUGUGGAAGAUGCGGUUGUCGAAGAAACUCCAUGUAUAAUCCAACAUAAGAACACUGUGGUUUGUGAGAUGAAGGGUUAAAAUGUUUAUUGCGCACACUAUCAAUAUUUCCAAGA
rnacentral:lncRNA from 13 species